UUCAUCCUUGUCUUUGGGGAGCAUAGUAUACAAUGAUCGUAUAGUGAGGAUACUGGUGCUGAAACCCAUUUUAUUUAUAUCCGCAUCCAUUUACACUGAAUGUGUAAUAGAUGCAAUUUUUGUAAGC